GAAAUCAGAAUAGUUUAGGGAAUCAUCUAACUUCGCCUUUAUUUUUAUUUUUUUUGUUCUUUUAUUCCCAUGAUUUUGCCUAUAUAAACACAUGACUUCUCAUAUAUUCUCAAAUCUCCAUACACAGAUCGACAUUAAGAGAAGGAAAUUAAAACAAAAACCUAUCUAUUCAAAGUUCUCUUAACUUAAAAGCUUUGAGCUUG
rnacentral:lncRNA from 1 species